rnacentral:rRNA from 1 species
UGCACAGGUGCUGCAUGGCUGUCGUCAGCUCGUGUCGUGAGAUGUGGUUAAGUCCCGCAACGAGCGCAACUCUUAUCCCUAGUUGCCAUCAGGUAAAGCUGGGAACUCUGGGGAGACUGCCGGUGAUAAACCGGAGGAAGGCGGGGAUGACGUCAAGUCCUCAUGGCCCUUACAUCCCGGGCUACACACGUGCUACAAUGGCAGGUACAGAGGGCUGCGAAGCCGCGAGGUGGAGCGAAUCCCAGAAAACCUGUCUCAGUCCGGAUUGAAGUCUGCAACUCGACUUCAUGAAGGCGGAAUCGCUAGUAACCGCGAAUCAGCAGGUCGCGGUGAAUACGUUCCCGGGCCUU